rnacentral:rRNA from 1 species
UUGCACGCUGGCGGCAGGCCUAACACAUGCAAGUCGAGCGGAUGAAGGGAGCUUGCUCCUGGAUUCAGCGGCGGACGGGUGAGUAAUGCCUAGGAAUCUGCCUGGUAGUGGGGGAUAACGUCCGGAAACGGGCGCUAAUACCGCAUACGUCCUGAGGGAGAAAGUGGGGGAUCUUCGGACCUCACGCUAUCAGAUGAGCCUAGGUCGGAUUAGCUAGUUGGUGGGGUAAAGGCCUACCAAGGCGACGAUCCGUAACUGGUCUGGGGGGAUAAUCAGUCACACUGGAACUGAGACACGGUCCAGACUCCUACGGGGGGCAGCGGUGGGGAAUAUUGGACAAUGGGCGAAAGCCUGAUCCAGACAUGCCGCGUGUGUGAAGAAGGUCUUCGGAUUGUAAAGCACUUUAAGUUGGGAGGAAGGGCAGUAAGUUAAUACCUUGCUGUUUUGACGUUACCAACAGAAUAAGCACCGGCUAACUUCGU